rnacentral:tRNA from 1 species
UCCCUGGUGCUCAGUGGUAAAGAAUCCUCUUGCCAAUGAGGAAGACUCAGGUUCAAUUCCUGAUCUGGGAA